AUUGAACGCUGGCGGCAUGCCUUACACAUGCAAGUCGAACGGCAGCACGGGAGCAAUCCUGGUGGCGAGUGGCAAACGGGUGAGUAAUAUAUCGGAACGUGCCCAGUAGUGGGGGAUAACUGCUCGAAAGAGCAGCUAAUACCGCAUACGACCUGAGGGUGAAAGGGGGGGAUCGCAAGACCUCUCGCUAUUGGGGCGGCCGAUAUCAGAUUAGCUAGUUGGUGGGGUAAAGGCCUACCAAGGCAACGAUCUGUAGUUGGUCUGAGAGGACGACCAGCCACACUGGGACUGAGACACGGCCCAGACUCCUACGGGAGGCAGCAGUGGGGAAUUUUGGACAAUGGGCGCAAGCCUGAUCCAGCAAUGCCGCGUGCAGGAAGAAGGCCUUCGGGUUGUAAACUGCUUUUGUCAGGGAAGAAAUCCUCUAGGUUAAUACCCUUGGGGGGAUGACGGUACCUGAAGAAUAAGCACCGGCUAACUACGUGCCAGCCGCCGCCGUAAAAC
rnacentral:rRNA from 1 species